CAGCCGCCGCGGUAAUACGUAGGUGGCAAGCGUUGUCCGGAAUUAUUGGGCGUAAAGGGCUCGCAGGCGGUUUCUUAAGUCCGAUGUGAAAGCCCCCGGCUCAACCGGGGAGGGUCAUUGGAAACUGGGAAACUUGAGUGCGGAAGAGGAGAGUGGAAUUCCACGUGUAGCGGUGAAAUGCGUAGAGAUGUGGAGGAACACCAGUGGCGAAGGCGACUCUCUGGUCUGUAACUGACGCUGAGGAGCGAAAGCGUGGGGAGCGAACAGGAUUAGAUACCCCCGUAGUCCCUGUCUCUUAUAC
rnacentral:rRNA from 1 species